CAACAUAUGCCCUUUCUUAUGAAAAAAUAUGGGCUAAUCUAAAUCAUCCUCGUGGUUAGGGAGCGUGUACCGAAGGAUAAUUGAUUAAGAAAUUGCAACAAGGGUUUCUUUUUUAGGAGCUCUUAAUAAGCCUUUCAUGCCUUUAUAUUUCGGGCUUUAGUUUUGUUUUGCUGCAUGCAUGUGGUUGCUUAUGUUCUCUAAGCAUUUGCUUUGGCUUUUGUGGCCUAUUGAUCCGUAGGCUUGCAAAAACUUUUACAACUUACAUAAAUAGAUUGUAGUUUCAGUCAUAACAUGAGUUGAAGUAUUCCGCUUAGACUAGGUGACAUUAAAGUUAGAGUAGUUGGGGCAACAGACGUGCUCAAAGCCGAGUAUCUCCUUAUAAAAAGAGGGGAGGAGGUGCACGUCGACGGUGUACCAGGCGAUGCGGUCGAGCUGCAAGUAUAUCCUAAAAGGAGGAGGCGGGAAUUGGGUCGGGUCAAAAAAACCUCGGUGAUGAAAACCUGGCCCGAGCCCCUAAUAAAUCGGCCCAAGCCCGAGAAAGCUUGGUGAGGCCUGGCCCGACUACAUUUAAAAAUUGGCUUUUGCAAGCCCGAUCCAGAUCCAUUGGGGUCGAUUUCCAGGCCCUAGCCCGGCCCGAUGGCAUGAUUUGGCCUGGCCUGGCCCCGGAUUUUCGGGCCAGGUCGGGUCGGGUCGUCCGGGCUGGGCUGGCCAUGCCCAGAUAUAUUGCUACAGAACCACUUCUCAAAAUAUGCGCCAUUCAUCUCUCAUGCUGACUAUCUAGAUUUCUCGUUUUUUUUUCUAUUUUUGCAUCUCAAGCUCAGAUCUUAGUCUAGCCACUUCCUGUUCUCCGCCGUACUGCAUCUUUUUAUCAUUUUUGAGGGAAGCCAGCCGUGCCGCUGCAUCUCCAAUUCUCCAUCGCCUGUCUAGCUACGUUGGUUUUAGCUGCCCACACCUCGAAUUUUGUGACAGUCAGGCUAGAAAUUCUCUUCGUACUACGAAGAAGAAAAUAAGAUCGUUUUCCUGUAAAAUGAAAUGAAAAUGGAAAUAAAAUGUGCUAGUCCGAAUCAUUCAUUCCAGCUGGUUGAUGAGAUGUGAAAGCCACUUCUACCUAACGUGCCUUAAUAAAUCGGUUUAGUUG
rnacentral:lncRNA from 1 species